AGUGAACGCUGGCGGUAGGCCUAACACAUGCAAGUCGAACGGCAGCACAGAGGAGCUUGCUCCUUGGGUGGCGAGUGGCGGACGGGUGAGGAAUACAUCGGAAUCUACUCUGUCGUGGGGGAUAACGUAGGGAAACUUACGCUAAUACCGCAUACGACCUACGGGUGAAAGCAGGGGAUCUUCGGACCUUGCGCGAUUGAAUGAGCCGAUGUCGGAUUAGCUAGUUGGCGGGGUAAAGGCCCACCAAGGCGACGAUCCGUAGCUGGUCUGAGAGGAUGAUCAGCCACACUGGAACUGAGACACGGUCCAGACUCCUACGGGAGGCAGCAGUGGGGAAUAUUGGACAAUGGGCGCAAGCCUGAUCCAGCCAUACCGCGUGGGUGAAGAAGGCCUUCGGGUUGUAAAGCCCUUUUGUUGGGAAAGAAAUCCAGCCGGCUAAUACCUGGUUGGGAUGACGGUACCCAAAGAAUAAGCACCGGCUAACUUCGUGCCAGCAGCCGCGGUAAUACGAAGGGUGCAAGCGUUACUCGGAAUUACUGGGCGUAAAGCGUGCGUAGGUGGUUAUUUAAGUCCGUUGUGAAAGCCCUGGGCUCAACCUGGGAACUGCAGUGGAUACUGGAUGACUAGAGUGUGGUAGAGGGUAGCGGAAUUCCUGGUGUAGCAGUGAAAUGCGUAGAGAUCAGGAGGAACAUCCAUGGCGAAGGCAGCUACCUGGACCAACACUGACACUGAGGCACGAAAGCGUGGGGAGCAAACA
rnacentral:rRNA from 1 species